rnacentral:rRNA from 1 species
UACGGGGGGGGGCAAGCGUUGUUCGGAAUUACUGGGCGUAAAGGGUCUGUAGGUGGCCAACUAAGUCAGACGUGAAAUCCCUCAGCUUAACUGGGGAACUGCGUCUGAUACUGGAUGGCUCGAGUGUGGGAGAGGAAUGCGGAAUUCCAGGUGUAGCGGUGAAAUGCGUAGAUAUCUGGAGGAACACCGGUGGCGAAGGCGGCAUUCUGGACCAUAACUGACACUGAGAGACGAAAGCCAGGGGAGCAAACGGG